ensembl:vault_RNA Vault Vault RNA
GGGUCAGCCAUAGCUCAGCGGUUACUUCCAUCAAAACUUUGCACAUCCUUACCCAGGAUCGAUUCCCGCGGGCGCCAUCUGACUCUUUA